UACGAAGGGGGCUAGCGUUGCUCGGAAUCACUGGGCGUAAAGCGCACGUAGGCGGCUUUCUAAGUCAGGGGUGAAAUCCUGGAGCUCAACUCCAGAACUGCCUUUGAUACUGGAGAGCUUGAGUCCGGGAGAGGUGAGUGGAACUCCGAGUGUAGAGGUGAAAUUCGUAGAUAUUCGGAAGAACACCAGUGGCGAAGGCGGCUCACUGGCCCGGUACUGACGCUGAGGUGCGAAAGCGUGGGGAGCGAACGGG
rnacentral:rRNA from 1 species